rnacentral:rRNA from 1 species
GACGUAGGUGGCGAACGUUAUCCGGAAUUAUUGGGCGUAAAGGGUGCGUAGAUGGCCUGAUAAGUUAACAGUGGUAAAUCGAGGCUCAACCUCGUGGAAACUGAUAAUACUGUCUGGCUCGAGUACAGAAGAGGUUAACGGAAUUCCAUGUGGAGCGGUAAAAUGCAUAGAUAUAUGGAAGAACACCAAUAACGGCGAAGGCAGUUCAACUAUUCUGUUACUGACAUUGAGGCACGAAAGCGUGGGGAGCAAAACGG